rnacentral:rRNA from 1 species
AACGAACGCUGGCGGCAUGCCUAACACAUGCAAGUCGAACGAGACCUUCGGGUCUAGUGGCGCACGGGUGCGUAACGCGUGGGAACCUGCCCUUAGGUUCGGAAUAACUCCCCGAAAGGGGUGCUAAUACCGGAUAAUGUCUUCGGACCAAAGAUUUAUCGCCUUUGGAUGGGCCCGCGUUGGAUUAGCUAGUUGGUAGGGUAAAAGCCUACCAAGGCGACGAUCCAUAGCUGGUCUGAGAGGAUGAUCAGCCACACUGGGACUGAGACACGGCCCAGACUCCUACGGGAGGCAGCAGUGGGGAAUAUUGGACCAUGGGCGAAAGCCUGAUCCAGCAAUGCCGCGUGAGUGAUGAAGGACUUAGAGUUGUAAAGCUCUUUUACCCGGGAUGAUAAUGACAGUACCGGGAGAAUAAGCUCCGGCUAACUCCGUG